rnacentral:rRNA from 1 species
AUAUAACUAAGCGGAGGAAAAGAAACUAACAAGGAUUUCCCUAGUAACGGCGAGUGAAGCGGAAAUAGCUCAGACUGAAAAUCUUCGGAAUUGUAGUCUGUAGAGGGCCAUGCUCAUGGAAUUUGUUCGAUAAAGUGGUCUGGAAUGACCCGCCGUGGAGGGUGACAGCCCCGUUCGCAUCGAAUGAAUGAAGUGGUCGGCAGGUUCUCGACGAGUCGAGUUGUUUGGGAUUGCAGCUCUAAUGGGUGGUAAAUUCCAUCUAAAGCUAAAUAUGGAUGGGAGACCGAUAGCGCACAAGUA